rnacentral:rRNA from 1 species
CCUACGGGUGACAGCAGUGAGGAAUAUUGGUCAAUGGUCGGGAGACUGAACCAGCCAAGCCGCGUGAGGGAUGAAGGUACAGAGUAUCGUAAACCUCUUUUGUCAGGGAACAAAGGCGGGGACGUGUCCCCGGAUGAGUGUACCUGAAGAAAAAGCAUCGGCUAACUCCGUGCCAGCAGCCGCGGUAAUACGGCGGAUGCGAGCGUUAUCCGGAUUUAUUGGGUUUAAAGGGUGCGCAGGCGGUCUGUUAAGUCAGCGGUAAAAGCCCGGGGCUCAACCCCGGCCCGCCGUUGAAACUGGCAGUCUCGAGUUGGAGAGAAGUAUGCGGAAGGCGCGGUGUAGCGGUGAAAUGCGUAGAUAUCGCGCAGAACUCCGAUUGCGAAGGCAGCAUGCCGGCUCCACACUGACGCUGAGGCACGAAAGCGUGGGUAUCGAACAGGAUUAGAUACCCGAGUAGUC